rnacentral:misc_RNA from 1 species
CAUGCGUACAAGGUAAUCGCGUUGUUACGUUUGAAAUAUGCUUUUAUGGUUGCUUAAGAGCCGUCGUUAUCUCAUUAUUUUCAUAAAGCCUUCGGCUUUCGCAUGUAUACACAGCAUUCCUUCCUGGACGUAUAUUUAUGUCAAUCCGCACUUUAAACGGUACAAAUUACCCAUUAAAAAAUGGAAUAUUCCAACGCACAUGCGCAGUAUAUAACCGGAAAUAUCAUUCGGAAACCUUCAUAUCUUUCUUGGUGUGUUAAGUGACUGCACGUGUUUUACUAAGUAGUCAAUUAUUCAACGGAAGUUUCGUUUCUUGACAGUUAAUUGGUUACCACGUCACAGGGAUUUAUUAACACUACAGCACAAUCAAGAACCACAUCUGCUUGGAAAGCGUUUGA